GGAAUAUUAAGAAGUCGCUGGCUGAGAAAUAUAACUGACUACAAUGAUCAGUUCCACAACAGUCCAAUACACUUUUCAGCUAGGCAUUUGUUGCAGCAGAUCAAGAGAGAUGUCCUUUGAGAAUGAUUUACUACUGUACACUGCAACACACCAGCAUACAAGAAUUCCUGCAUUCCUGUUGCAGAAAGAAGUUAAAAGCAGGCCACAAAUAAAAUAGAGCUUCUAGUCAAUGAAAGCAUUUCCAAGAAUAAAUUACUGACUACAGAGAGAAGAGAAGCUGCUUAGAAGAAAGCCAAGGUCUAAUUCUGGUCUCAGUUACAAUAAAGAAAGCCCACUGAAGUCAAUAGGAUUGCACCAUUGCAAAGAUUCUAGUCUUCAUGAUUAUUGAGAGAAGCUUGGAAUUGUGACCCAAAUUGACCCCCUAAUGGUUCAAAAACCAGAAGUUACACUCCUGAGCCUACUGAAGACUUUCAUAACUGCCUCAGCAAUCCCACAAUGCCCUGCUGUGGGAAACUGCUGGCUCAGCCAGCCCUCACAUCAGAUAAGAGAGCUACAGAACUGCUUUAAUUGCAGCAUUUCUCAGACAGCACCACACUGGGGCUCCUACAUGAUCCACCUGCACACAGAGAAAGUAAAAACCAGUGCACUCUGCCAGGAGGCUUUUUGAUCUUUGAUGCUAAUUAAAUGGUCUAAUUCCCUCCCAGAUGUGUGUCCAUCAACUAUGGGAGACUUGCAACAGUAUCAUUUUAAUUAAUA